GCGGUUAAUCACAGUUCUUUCAUGAUUUAACAGGAGGAGGCAAUUCAUUUUACACAUAGGACAAGCUAAACAGGUCAGAGAAAGCAGCAUGAGUACACGAAGACAAACGGCCGCCGCAUGCAGCAUGACACUCACCCUCUGCUGCCUGUCUCUGAACUCUGCCGCUCGGGCGUCCUGCUCCUCCUGCAUUCUCCUGCGGGACACCUCCAGAGCCGCCUGACGCCUCACCACGGAGUCCGGGUCUGCAGACGGGACACACACACCUCUGCUAUCACACACACACACACACACAACUCUAACACCUAAAUCUGCAGACAGCAGUCACUGUGGGUUCUGACCUUGGCUGCUGGUGGAAACGGGCGAGCUCUGGCUGUCUGUGGAUCUGUUCUUGCGGAGAUGCUGAAGGAGCAUAUACACUCCCACACACGUGAAUGCCGCAUACCAGCCAUACUCAGACAGGAAAGAUGUCACUGAUUGCAGCAGAAAACUCAGAUCCUGGUUCUGAGGAGGGCCGUCUUCAUUUAGGACUCGCGCACCAUCUUGCGCCUCCAUACUAAAACGCCUUUAAGAUGUGUUUUUUUUAAUGUUAUUAUGAGAAUAUACAACAAUUA